UACGUAGGGUGCAAACGUUGUUCGGAAUCACUGGGCAUAAAGAGCGCGUAGGCGGUCUGAUAAGUCCUGUGUGAAAGCCCCCGGCUCAACCGGGGGAAUUGCACAGGAUACUGUCGGGCUAGAGUACAGGAGGGGAGAGCGGAAUUCCUGGUGGAGCGGUGAAAUGCGUAGAUAUCUGGAGGAACAUCGGUGGCGAAGGCGGCAUCCUGGACCGGUAUUGACGCUGAGGCGCGAAAGCCAGGGGAGCAAACGGGG
rnacentral:rRNA from 1 species